GGGCGACUUGCUGCACUUUAAAACGAGGGGGUCGAGGUUGGAAAAAAAAAUGUGGAUGACGUGGGUGCAUAACAACGGCGAGGAGGAGAAUAUUAGUGUUUUGGAGAGCACACAUCUGAAGUGGUCCAAUUUGGAGCGGACACGUGCAACUCGAUCUUACAUUUGAGUUGCUACUAAUGUGGGAUUGAGAUGGCUCCCGAAAGACAAACAGCCUUUCCCCGUUGGCCUGGCAGAUCACUUCCACAUUGGCAGAGGUUGGAAUCAUGUCUUCUUCUUCUUCUACUGAGUUGUGCAGCGUUUCACUCCCUUUCUCCAUGUUGCUUUGGUUGGGAGCCUCGUGUUGCUGCAGUGUGUUUUCAUUGACGGCUGAUUUAUACUCGGGUAACUUUUCCUCCGCAAAGCUCUCCUUCCCUUUUUCCGCAAGCGGCAAACGAGAGCUGGGAAGAAGUCUUUCCAUCAAAUGUUGCCUCUUUUCCUGGAGUCCGUGAGAUCUAACGUACAAAGGAGUUGCUGUUUGAAAGUCUGUCGGAGAACAUGUGCUUACCUCACCCAUACAUAUUUCCUCUUCUAAAAGGAUCAUGUAUGUGACGUUCAUGGCCACCGAGCUGAUCGCUGCCCCUGAUAUUGGGACGUCUUAAUCUGGCAGCUGCUUACUCACCUUUCCUUUUCCACACGCGGCAUGUUCAGCAUACUUCUGUGCACAAGGUCGUCCUUCAGUUUGACAGGAAGACGCAGAUUAGGCCUGGUCAGAGAGGCAUUAAUGUGAGUAAUGCGCUGUACUGGGAAAAAGCAGACAUUCUAAACAACUUUGGAAUAGGAUAGGGAAAAAAAAUAAAAUAAAAUACUGUACACUAUGUACUGGUAGUUGCACAUGAGGUACACUCAUUUAUUCUUGUACUUGUUCAGAAAUCGCAUUUUUUGGAGAUAAACUAAAAACUUAUAUUCCCUCUUUAUAUGUAAAGCAGUCCGAUUUCAGAUUAGUUGAAUAGAAAUGUUUAUUAUCCUAAUGCUUACCCGGAAUGCUCCUGCUCCGUUGACGAGGAACCAAGAUGCUGCUUAGGACAGAGGGCAUCAGUGAUGGAAAGAAGUUCACUCUCAGGCAUCGUGGGGACCAGGAGACGCAGAAGCUCAAGGAGAACCUCAACCGGCAUCCGACAUUGUUUUACCAGUUCUGAUGCGAAAAGCAGCUCCUGAAACACAGAAGUGACGACAAAGGAUAACAAAGAGGUACACACACAGGAAAACUGCUUGGAAAGUGUUUGAACCUGGUCACAGUUUGAAUAAAGUCUCUUGAGCGCCAUUUUUUCUCUGAGAUCUUCCAUAGUCUGAUUGCCAGCAGUCAUCUUGUCCAACCUAAAAAAUGACUUUUAAUAAGUUAAAAAAAAAAUUGUCCCAGGAUCAUGACAGACCUACCUAGCCGUCAACGCUGUGCUGACUUGCUGACACUUAUUGAGCGCCCCCUGGAGGAUGGAUGACAUUCGGCUCUCCAGUUCCAGGCCAAACAGCUCCUCCUGCCUACGGGCUUGCUCUUUCGCAUCAGUGUCCUCUAUGUGCGUUUGGGUUGACCAAUGAACUGUUUCCAGCUGGUCCAGCUCCCCGUUCUCUUCCUGGAGCUGACGUUCUGCUUCCUCAAGGCCCUGUUGGUUAACCAACUACAAUUAAGGGGCGAAAGCAACACAAUCCCACAAUUCUAGUUGACAUCCAAUUCCUCUUACCAGGCAGUGCCUCUUUAUACUUUGGGACAUUUCUUGUCUCGCCAGAUUCUUCUUGGUCUCUCGAAGGUGAUGACUUAGCAGGCCGUGAAAGCUGUACAGUGCUCGGGACGUCUCCAAGACUUUGGCCCUCCUCUCAGCCUUUUGGUAGUGCACGGCGGCCAUUUGCAUUGCCAGACUGUCGGCCUGAGAACGCAAGUAGUCUUCUCUCUCCUUCCUCAUCUCCCCUUCUACCUGCAUUUACAGUUCAGCAAGCAUCACCUCAAAUGACCUCAUGAUGGUUUUAUACGAGAUAUCAAAUUGAAGAACUGCACAUUACCCUUUCCUUUGUUUCUUACCUUACUUAUAACACCGUGAUCCAUCUCCCUAGCCGUCUCCUCUAACAGUUGGAUCUGGUCUUGAAGUUUUUUCUGGAAGUGAACCAGAUCGGAUGUAGCUUGUGCUUUCCCGCUGAAAUGUGGCUUUAUCUGUAAUAAAAUAAGAAAAUGGGCACUACGCAGUUUAGGAAGGAAUCCAGGCCUCCUGUCCCGGGGUGAUUAGAAAUGAAAACACUUUUGCUCACCAGGCUCAUAAUUGAGUCUGAUCACAGUGAGGGGGCAACAUUGAGAAGAGGAAAAAAAAAAUUCUCAGCCACUGGGCUUGAGCAGCAAAUCACAAAAGCAAGUUUACGGUGCUUAUGAUGUGUUCACCAUUUGUUGCCCACUGUCCUCCCUCCAAGUUCCCAGGCAGUUGUGGACUUUUGUUCUGGACACGGCGUGGGGCAGCAUGAGGCAUCGGUCCAACACAGAGAGACAUUUCUGGAAUUCAAGUUUCAUUGCCAGGCGCUCAUCGCCAGAGAGAGUCAGUUGGGCCGAGCACAAACAUCUGACAAGGACACACACGAAGACAAUCAGGAGACUGGAUUUACAGUACACUGUGCGGUUCCACGAUUCUGGUAAAUAAAUAAAUUGAAAUUUGGCAGUUGGAUUUGUGGAGUAGAUCCAUCUGCACCGAUGCCAUAUGACAACUUUAUUCGACUAACCUGAAGAAAUCUCUGCAAUGAGCCCUGAGCUCCUUCUGCUCUUGCAGCUCCGUCCCCAUGGCUCUGUUCAGGCUCUCCCUGGUGGUGCUGAGCGUGUGUAAGGCUGCUUUGCCUUCCUGAUGCAGCAUCUCUUGGCCCUGCAGGAGCGCGCUCCCUCCUUGGCUAGAUUCUGGGUCGACUUGCAGCAGUGAGCUCUGCACGCUUGGCGGCAGGAUUGUGAGCAGGGCCUGCAUUGUGGAAGGCUGAAUGGCUUUGACUUCUGCCAUGGAACUCUGGAUUACACGCAUGGUCACCUUGACGACAGACAGGGGGACCCAAACAAUGCAUCGACUGAAUGCCCCCUAUGUGUGCUUUCCUGGAACAAGCAUGUGUAGUAUUAUUUGUACCUUCCGAAUAUCAGCUGCCGCCUCCUCGUCCAAAUUAUUGAUGAGCUCAGCAAGCUCCAAGCUACAAGUUGUCAGUAGCUCCUGCCAACACUGCAGAUGAUGGGCUACUUUGAUGCUUCCAUCUUGAUUCUUAGACAGGCCAGACAAGUCCUUCUGUCUCUGCAUGUGGACCCUGAGCUGAAGAAUGGAGGACAUGCUAUUUGAGCCACAUUAUGAGUUGUAGGAAAUUUGCAUAAUUUCAUCAGUAUAUUUUUCAGUAUCAAAUAAAACGAACCUAUAUAAA